UGUCUCAUAAUUUUACAAUUUAAUUCCCAUUUACGCUCUUCUUCUCCAAUAAUCACAAUCAGUGAAUUAUGUGUCUACAGUGAAACCCUGUCAACCUUACAGUUUUAAUAGAAACACAGAAGGUUUGGUCAGUGUCAUUGUGAACUCCGAAACAUGUAACUUAUGUGCUUCUUAUGUUGAAAUUAUAAUAUUAGUUUCUAUGCUCUUAUCAUCUUCAUCAUCAUACUGAUUAUAACCAUCUUAAGUCCUACUGUGUUUUGAUCUUUAAAGGUAAAAGGUAAAAGGUAAAAAAGUAUGAUGACUAAUGAUCGAUAAAAUUAAAUUUAUUGAGGAUGAAAAGCAGUGAAGAGGAAGAGAUGCCGAGGAACACAUACAGUGCGCUUUUCCACUUGGAUAUAACUUUUUAAUGGAUUUUCAAUGGGCAGACAAAGAAACAAAGUGAUAGGUCAUUGAGUCUUGUUCACAAUCUUUUGGAGAUGAAAGCAAAUUUUCAAAUGGCUCCUUAAUUUACACAAUAAAAUGAAGUUUAGUUUAAUUUCCAUGGAUAAGGACCAACAAAAGAUUUUUCAUCAGUCAAUUCAAUGAAAGCGAUAUACUUUGGUCUUGAACAUUUUCCACCUUUUAGAUGGCCAUUUCACAAGAUUUAUGAUUCAACCUUUUUCUUAUAUUGUUGGUGUAUUGACAAUCAACUAAUUGCUAAUUAACGCAAAUUUAAUUAACGUUUCCUAAUAGCCUCUUUAAGGUAUAAUAAUUUAAACAACAACCUGUUUUGAUUGUGAAAA